rnacentral:rRNA from 1 species
UACGUAGGGUGCAAGCGUUAAUCGGAAUCACUGGGCGUAAAGGGCGCGUAGGCGGCUUUAUAAGUCGGGGGUGAAAGCCUGUGGCUCAACCACAGAAUUGCCUUCGAUACUGUUUGGCUUGAGACCGGAAGAGGUGAGUGGAACUGCGAGUGUAGAGGUGAAAUUCGUAGAUAUUCGCAAGAACACCAGUGGCGAAGGCGGCUCACUGGUCCGGUUCUGACGCUGAGGCGCGAAAGCGUGGGGAGCAAACAGG